rnacentral:rRNA from 1 species
GAUGAACGCUGGCGGCGUGCCUAAUACAUGCAAGUCGAGCGAACAGACGAGGAGCUUGCUCCUCUGACGUUAGAGGCGGACGGGUGAGUAACACGUGGAUAACCUACCUAUAAGACUGGGAUAACUUCGGGAAACCGGAGCUAAUACCGGAUAAUAUAUUGAACCGCAUGGUUCAAUAGUGAAAGACGGUUUUGCUGUCACUUAUAGAUGGAUCCGCGCCGCAUUAGCUAGUUGGUAAGGUAACGGCUUACCAAGGCAACGAUGCGUAGCCGACCUGAGAGGGUGAUCGGCCACACUGGAACUGAGACACGGCCCAGACUCCUACGGGAGGCGGCAGUAGGGAAUCUUCCGCAAUGGGCGAAAGCCUGACGGAGCAACGCCGCGUGAGUGAUGAAGGUCUUCGGAUCGUAAACCUCUGUUAUUAGGGAAGAACAAAUGUGUAAUUAACUAUGCACGUCUUGACGGUACCUAAUCAGAAAGCCCCGGCUAACUACGUG